GCUACAUUAAGCGAAAUGGCUAUCGCGUCAGACUUCUAAUCUGAAGAUUGCCGGUUCGACCCCGGCGUGGGGCU
rnacentral:tRNA from 1 species